rnacentral:rRNA from 1 species
UACGUAGGGUGCGAGCGUUAAUCGGAAUUACUGGGCGUAAAGCGUGCGCAGGCGGUUUUGUAAGCCAGAUGUGAAAUCCCCGGGCUUAACCUGGGAAUGGCAUUUGGGACUGCAAGGCUGGAGUGUGGCAGAGGAGACUGGAAUUCCCGGUGUAGCAGUGAAACGCGUAGAUAUCAGGAGGAACACCGAUGGCGAAGGCAGGUCUCUGGGCUGACACUGACGCUCAUGCACGAAAGCGUGGGGAGCAAACAGG